UAAAUGAGGUGCUGAGAACCAAUUAAAAUAAACAAAGAAACAAACACAAUGGGAGAGAUGCAGAGAGAUGUGGAGAGAUGGGGUACCGGUAUUUUCCUAAAAGAUGGUGAUUCAUCUAACAUGGAAAAGGGUCAUUUCAGUAUCUUUGCUUUUUAAGAAGAAUAGAAGAUGAUAUGAUGGCACAUUCCUUCAAUCUCAAUGCUUAGAAGACAUGGGAAGAAAGAAGCACAGGGUUAAAGGCUAGCCUGGACUACAGAGUAAAACUCUGUCUCAAACCAAAUUGAAAAGAAAGAAGAAUCAGGCCAACCCAAAAAAGAUGACUGAGGAAGGAGCUUAAGAAAAACUGGGCUAUUUUUCUCUGCUGUGAUACUUUGCUGUAUAAAAGAAAUGGCUUCAAUAACCCUGUGAUACUUUGUUGUAUAAAAGAAAUGGCUUCAGUAACCACUCAAGAACUGGAAUUCUAUUGACUGCAAAACUCUUAUAAGGCAGGACUUCUGGGCAUGUCCACAGCAAAUAGAAGACUAAUUACUGGUGUUUCCGCACUAUGAAAUACUCAGCCACUUGGCCUGCUCCUUCAAAGAUGCCAGAUGUUAAGAGACCCAUGUAUCCUCAGAUAUUGGAUUCCCAGCCUGGAGAGAUUCUGUGUCUCAAACCAGCAUCUGACCACUUUGUAUAUUCCUUGGAUUAUUCUACCAAGAAGUGCUUUGGAGAUAGACAUUUGGCUCACAGAAAAGCAUCCUUUGUUUAUAGGCAAACAGGUAUGCAAUAUGAAACUAAAAUAGGAAAUUAUUCUUUGCAUUCAAUGCUAGCUAGUGAUUUAGAGGGCCAUUUAAAAU
rnacentral:lncRNA from 1 species